rnacentral:rRNA from 1 species
UACAGAGGUCCCAAGCGUUGUUCGGAUUCAUUGGGCGUAAAGGGUGCGUAGGUGGCAUGGUAAGUCGGGUGUGAAAGCCCGGGGCUCAACUCCGGAAUUGCCUUUAAGACUGCAUCGCUAGAAUUGUGGAGAGGUAAGUGGAAUUCCGAGUGUAGAGGUGAAAUUCGUAGAUAUUAGGAAGAACACCAGUGGCGAAGGCGGCUCACUGGCCCGGUACUGACGCUGAGGCGCGAAAGCGUGGGGAGCAAACAGG